UUCCUGGUGGUCCAGUGGUUAAGACCCAAUGCUUUCAAUGCAGGGGGCCUAGGUUCGAUCCCUUGUCAGGGAA
rnacentral:tRNA from 1 species